rnacentral:rRNA from 1 species
UUUUUAAACUACUUUUUGGGUUUUUAUUGUAAUUAAGCCUAUUUUUAGUUAAUUUUCUCCAUUUUUGGGAGUUAUUGGGUAGUUUUGGAGCCUAAUUUUUGGGAGAAAGUUGGAGAUGAGUAACCAACUUCCUAGCUAUAUAACUGAGGCCUGUUUGAGGCCAAGGGACAGCAUUGAGGGCAUUUAGAGCAGAAUUAUGUUGAAGAGAAUCCAAGCCAAAGCCAUUUUGAGGCAGAGAAGCUUUUGAGGAGGAGACGUUGUCGGACCAUUUCUGGGAGCUCCGGAUGUUCAUUUUGCGUGCCAUUUUCUUUGCAUGAUUCUAUAGAUCUGGAAUAACAUGACCAGAUCAGUCUUGUAGCCAUUUGGCAUUGCAUCGAUGUACUUUUGAGCUUUUGAGCAUAAAUAAAGAAGCCCCCCCCACAGAGAAAAGGCCCAGAGACGUAGGCAAAGUUGUGUCGAACUUUGUUAUCAAUCUACGUGUUAUGGUUUGUUGUUAAUUCUUUCAUUUCAGAUCUGAAAAUGUAUAUAUGGCUGUCAUAAUUCCUCUUAUUUCCUCAUUCUUCACUAAGUUUUCUCAAAUGGUUAAAUAACGCAUGCAAAAUUAAAACUCAACCAUAAGUCAUUGAAAAAGCCUGACGGAUCAGCGGAUAAAUGAUAGGAAUUACUAUGACUCUCUUAAUAUAGCCAAAUGACUUGUCAUAUAAUUAGUCACAUGCAUGAAUGGAUUAAGGAGAUUCCCACAAUCCCUAUAUACUAUCUAUACAAACCAAAACUAAGGGAACGGGCUUGGCAGAAUCAACGGGUAAAGAAGACCCUGUUGAGCUUGACUGUAGUCUGACUUUGUGAAAUGACUUGAGAGGUGUAGAAUAAGUGGGAGCCCUUUUUAGCGCAAGUUAAAUACCAAUACUUUUAAUGUUAUUUUACUUAUUCCAUGGGGAGGAGAUGGGGCAUUGCCCCUAUUUUUUUCCUUAUGACACGUUUUUACAGGUCAAUCCGAGCAUAAGGCAUUGUCAGGUGGGAAGUUUGGCUAGGGUGGUACAUUUGUUAAAAGAUAACGCGGGUGUCCUAAGAUGAGAUCAACGAGAAAAAAAAUCUUGUGUGGAACAAAAGGGUAAAAGCUUAUUUGAUUUUGAUUUUUAGUACGAAUACAAACCAUGAAACUAUGGCCUAUCGAUCCUUUAUAAUUUUGAAAUUUGAAGCUAGAGGUGUCAGAAAAGUUACCACGGGGAUAACUAUCUUGUAGAAUCCAAGCGUUCAUAGUGACGUUGCUUUUUUAUCCUUUGAUGUCGACUCUUCCUAUCAUUGUGAAGCAUAAUUCACCAUGUGUUGGAUUGUUCACCCACCAAUAGGGAACGUGAGUUGGGUUUAGACCAUCGUGAGACAAGUUAGUUUUACCCUACUUAUGAACCGAACCUAAAUAGUAAUUCAACUUAGUACAAGAGGAACCAUUGAUUCAGACAAUUGGUCAUCGCGUUUGGUUGAAAAUACAGUGGCGCGAAGCUACCAUGUGUCGAAUUAUGACUGAAUGGCUCUAACUCAGAAUCAACACUAGAAGUAAUGCUUGUCACUCAUCGAUUGU